rnacentral:rRNA from 1 species
AGUCGAACGCUGUAGCAAUACAGAGUGGCAGACGGGUGAGUAACACGUGGGAACGUACCCUUCGGUUCGGAAUAACACAGAGAAAUUUGUGCUAAUACCGGAUACGUCCGAGAGGAGAAAGAUUUAUCGCCGAAGGAUCGGCCCGCGUCUGAUUAGCUUGUUGGUGAGGUAACGGCUCACCAAGGCGACGAUCAGUAGCUGGUCUGAGAGGAUGAUCAGCCACACUGGGACUGAGACACGGCCCAGACUCC